UUUUAAAUACACAUCGUGUAAUUCUCUUUGUUUGAUGUUUAGUUUGACAUUAAACUUCAAAUGCGACUGCUACUACCCAUCUUGAAACCUCUUUUGAGAAAUUGUUCACUAUUUGCCAAAGUGCUGCUUAUGUGUGUGUUAAGUGAGUUGAAUUGAGUUGACUGCCAACAUAAAGUUUGAGGUCACAAAUCAAAGCAAAACAAAACGGCCAAAUGACGACUCGUAUCUCGGUCACUUACAGUCGGGUCACUGGUAUCUCAAGGCACCACUGUAUAAGUUUACGUUUUAAAACCUUCAAACUUCUGUGAAAAAAGUCAUCAAAGAUGCAAAAUUGUGCUCAAGCUUUCAGCGUGAUUUAAUGAGCUAAUAAUAAAAACUCUGGGCCUUCCGUACACUGAGCUCGUUUCAGAUUCAACUGACCUCCAUUGGGUCCAACAAGUGAGUCACAGAAGCUGGCAGGGCGUCUGAAUGCCUAAACGCAUUCAAGUGGAGGAGGGGGAGGAGGCCGGACGCGAUCGCACCAGAACCUCCAGCGAUCCCUGGCAUCCAGGGCUCAACGUGUGCGUGUGUGUAUACAUGCAGAUGGUCUUUGCAGGAAUGUACCCAAACCACAGCACCCCCGCCCCCUCCUCCUACUCGGGUAUCAUGCAUCCUGUCAUAAAACAUAUAAAUAAAAUGAUCCUGAUUAACGAAAGUGCAACUUGAACUCAGAGUCAGGAAGCUGAAAAUAGACCUACACCCAUCCUCUUAUUCUAGACGUGUGCACAUAUUUAUCCUCUUUCGAAUGGACAACCCCUGAGGAGAUUUACACACCCUGAUGUCAAUUCAUCAUGCACCCAUCUUUUGUUCGUGGAAAUACGAACCCAGGAGAAAAACACAGCAUUCCUGUUGGUGAUGUAUUGCUUGAGUCGUUCUACAGAGGGAGGAGCAGCUAGCGGCUCAACUUUCAAGCCAAAGGAGCUUGACACCUCACCAGCCCACCCCUUCCUCCUCAUCCAACAAUGGCAGCAGCAGGCAUUAUCGCGGCACUCACGCUGGCAGUGACCCCAAGAUCGGCGUGUCCAUCCCCAGCAGCAGUCCACCCUGG